GACAGUUUGCUGCUGAAUAUCAUUUCUUAUCUGGAUCUGGAAGACAUUGCCAGGCUUUCUCAAACAUCACGCAGAUUUGCAAAGUUGUGCAUGUCGGAGGAACUGUGGGAGCAGAUCGUCCGGAGCUCCUGUGACCACAUCACUCCCGACAUGCGAGCCUUGGCCCAGGACAUGGGCUGGAGACGGAUGUACUUCACCAACAAGCUGCAGCUCCAGCGGCACCUCCGCAAGAGGAAGCAGCGGCAGGGAAGCCAGCGAAAGCAGUCAGCUCUAGAUGCACACGUUCCCGCCCCUGGGAAGUAAGAGGCACGGGACCGUAUCAUCAACCUAAAAUCCUGUAAGACACCAGCAACCUCAGUGGUCGAUCAUUCUGCCCCUCUCUCCCGCCUCCAUGGGGAGGCAAUGGUGAUUUUGCCUCUCCGCCUCUGCUGACAGUUUUUUUGUGGACGGAUAAAUCUGCUUCAUUCAUGACACAUCGUUUCAGAGUGAAAUGUCACAGCAGUUUAUACUUUUGUCUUUUUUCGUCUUUUCGCUCAAAAGUGCUUCUGCCUGGCUAUCACUCACCAUUGUAACUGUAAAAGUAAAAUGCUGAUAUUCUCCAGUGACUCAUAUGUUUAGUGUUAUAAAAAUAAUUUAUUAACAGUUGCAUAUGUGAAUAUUUAAUCUAUAGACUAAAGAAAUAUGUAUAUUUUACUCCAUGUCAACUUCUAGUACUGCUUUUUA